rnacentral:rRNA from 1 species
GACGAACGCUGGCGGCGUGCUUAAAACAUGCAAGUCGAACGGGCCAUCCUUCGGGGUGGUCAGUGGCAAACGGCUGAGUAACACGUGAGUGACCUACCCGUGGGUGGGGGAUAACCCCCCGAAAGGGGGGCUAAUACCGCAUACGUCCCCUAGGGUAAAGCCUAGGGGGGAAAGGUUUUUCGCCCACGGCGGGGCUCGCGUCCCAUCAGGUAGUUGGUGUAGGUAACGGCUCACCAAGCCGAUGACGGGUAGCUGGUCUGAGAGGAUGGCCAGCCAGACUGGGACUGCGACACGGCCCAGACUCCUACGGGAGGCAGCAGUUAGGAAUCUUGCGCAAUGGGGGAAACCCUGACGCAGCGACGCCGCGUGGGCGAAGAAGGCCUUCGGGUCGUAAAGCCCUUUUCCGGGGGAAGAUGAUGACGGUACCCCGGGAAUAAGCCCCGGCUAACUACGUGCCAGCAGCCGCGGUAAUACGUAGGGGGCUAGCGUUGUCCGGAUUU